rnacentral:siRNA from 1 species
CCAUGUCAUUCCACCCAUCAAGAU